rnacentral:rRNA from 1 species
ACGGGUGAGUAACACGUGGGUACCCUGCCCAUCAGAAGGGGAUAACACUUGGAAACAGGUGCUAAUACCGUAUAACACUAUUUUCCGCAUGGAAGAAAGUUGAAAGGCGCUUUUGCGUCACUGAUGGAUGGACCCGCGGUGCAUUAGCUAGUUGGUGAGGUAACGGCUCACCAAGGCCACGAUGCAUAGCCGACCUGAGAGGGUGAUCGGCCACACUGGGACUGAGACACGGCCCAGACUCCUACGGGAGGCAGCAGUAGGGAAUCUUCGGCAAUGGACGAAAGUCUGACCGAGCAACGCCGCGUGAGUGAAGAAGGUUUUCGGAUCGUAAAACUCUGUUGUUAGAGAAGAACAAGGAUGAGAGUAAAAUGUUCAUCCCUUGACGGUAUCUAACCAGAAAGCCACGGCUAACUACGUGCCAGCAGCCGCGGUAAUACGUAGGUGGCAAGCGUUGUCCGGAUUUAUUGGGCGUAAAGCGAGCGCAGGCGGUUUCUUAAGUCUGAUGUGAAAGCCCCCGGCUCAACCGGGGAGGGUCAUUGGAAACUGGGAGACUUGAGUGCAGAAGAGGAGAGUGGAAUUCCAUGUGUAGCGGUGAAAUGCGUAGAUAUAUGGAGGAACACCAGUGGCGAAGGCGGCUCUCUGGUCUGUAACUGACGCUGAGGCUCGAAAGCGUGGGGAGCGAACAGGAUUAGAUACCCUGGUAGUCCACGCCGUAAA